CUUUACUUUGUACUGGAGUUGGCUGCAUCAAGCACCAUGGGCAGGGAGAUGGACCAAAAUUAGCUAGAUUCUGUUAUAUUACCUCAAAAGCCUGCCAUGGAAUUACCAAUAUCCAAUUCAUUCUUAUAUUGUUUUGACUGAUGGGACAGGACAGGAGGAGAAUAGAGAAUGAGUUUUUCAACGGGAAACUUCGUGGGGUUGCUGCAACAAAUGCUCUUGAGUUGGGUAUUGAUGUUGGACAUAUUGAUGCAACUUUGCAUCUAGGUUUUCCUGGUAGUGUUGCCAGCUUGUGGCAACAAGCUGGGAGAUCUGGGAGAAGGGAAAGGCCAGCGCUUGCAGUCUAUGUUGCAUUUGAAAGUCCUCUUGAUCAGUAUUUCAUGAAAUUCCCACAGAAACUCUUUCAGAGCCCAAUUGAGAGUUGUCAUGUUUAUGCUCAUAACCAGCAGGUGCUUGAGCAGCAUCUAGUUUGUGCAGCUCUUGAACACCCUUUGAGUUUGGUGUAUGAUGAGAAAUACUUUGGCUCUUGUCUAAAUAGUGGAAUAAUGUCUCUUGCAAAUAAAGGAUAUCUGAGUUCUGAUCCAUCCCGUAAUUUACCUUCCCAAAUGUGGAGCUAUAUUGGGCAUGAGAAAAAACCUUCACAUGCAAUUAGUAUUCGAGCAAUAGAGACUGAGAGAUACAAAGUAUUUACAAAUAAAAGAAAUGAAGUCCUUGAGGAGAUUGAGGAAAGCAAGGCCUUUUUUCAGGUUUACGAAGGUGCCGUUUAUAUGCAUCAAGGGAAAACUUAUUUGGUGAAGGUCUUGAAUUUAUCAGCAAAGGUUGCUCUAUGUCAAGAAGCUAACUUGAAGUACUACACAAAGACACGUGACUACACAGAUAUUGAUGUCAUUGGUGGUGUUAUUGCUUAUCCAGCAAGGAUUUCUGAUGUCCAGCAGUGGAAAACAACUGCCCAGACAAAUAAUUGCAAAGUAACUACUACAUGGUUUGGCUUCUAUCGUAUUUGGCGUCGAAGCAAUGAAAUUAUUGAUUCAGAAGACCUUUCUCUCCCUAAAUAUUCUUAUGAAUCACAGGCAGUUUGGAUUCGAGUUCCACAAUCAAUAAAAUCAGAAGUGGAGAUUAAACAAUUCUCAUUUCGUGCGGGCCUGCAUGCUGCUUGUCAUGCUCUUUUGAAUGUGGUACCUCUCAAUUUUUUCCAUGAGAACGUAUGACGUGUUCUAUGAACAUUUUGAAGUUAUAUAUUGGCAUCAUUUUCAACUUUUCUCUUUUUGAUUUCGGGUAUAUUAUGUGCAACUCUUCGGACUUGGCUUCUGAGUGUGUGAAUCCUCAUGAAACCCGUUAUUUUCCAGAAAGAAUUCUGUUGUAUGAUCAACACCCUGGAGGAAUUGGGUUGUCAGUGCAGGU